UGAGCAAUCUGCCCUUCUCAUCGGAAUAACCAUUGGAAACGAUGGCUAAUACCGACUAUGACUUCGGAUCGCAUGAUCUGAAGUGGAAAGCUCCGGCGGUGAAGGAUGAGCUCGCGGCCUAUCAGCUUGUUGGUGAAGCAAUAGCUCACCAAGGCGAUGACGGGUAGCCGGCCUGAGAGGGUGACCGGCCACACGUGGGA
rnacentral:rRNA from 1 species